ACUUGCUGCUGACUUUACAAAAGCUUUAAUCAUUGACAACAACAAUGGCAAAGGUGAUUUGAACAAAACUGAGGUUGAGUGGCCACUGCAACCCUUAGAGGCAAAGAAUUCUCCUGUAAUUAAGAAUUUUAACAUAAGCAAUAAUCGUGGCCACCCAGCACAUCAGCCCCAUGUUACCACCUGUGCCAACAGGCCAUGCUUUCCUGGAGUGCUGUGUUUCAAUAGGAAACCCCCUUACAUUGGCUAUGUCUGUGGCCGAUGUCCAACAGGGUUUUUUGGAAAUGGCCGAACCUGCAGCAAAGCCUCCAGACCAGUUUCAAGAUCUUCCCAAAGCCAUACAGAUGUUGCUGAAAGGAACAGUGAAGAUGCCAGAGGCUCUCAUCAGGAAGGCAAGACAUCAAGAAACAUUUAUUCCCUUCUUUCCCAAACCCAAAUUCCAAGGCAAGAACCUAUGUACUCUGUGGAAAGAAACCACACAGUCAUUAAUACAGCAUCCUUUACAAUGAAAAGGAAGAUUUCCCAGCCUCAGACGCUGUCAGCACAAAUACCUGAUAUGGAGCCCACUGUAUCUGAGAAACAGACUUUUACUGAAAAAAGAAGUCAUAUACACACUUUCCUUCUGCAUGAGGAGCCAGAUCCCAAAACAGCAGCUGUCAACGUGACUACUCCUACCCCUGUGCAUUUUAAACAAUACAAGCCAGGAACAAGACGGACCAUUCCUUCUCAUCUCAACACAAAUGCAAGCUCAUUCUUUGCACGACUGCAUGCUGUUCAGCAAGCUCGUUCCAGAUACAGCUUAUCUCCCAGGAAAUGGCUCAGUCAAGUUACAGGCUCAAAGACUGAACUCUCCAAAAAUCUCCCAACAGAGCAGCAGAGAGCUUCAUCUUUAGAAACAACCCUCACAUCCCCUUUGCAUGAAAUAGGUUUUUCCCUUGACACAGCUCCACAGAGAGCCAGCCUCCUGCCUGGACCUGCUCCCCCAGCAAGGCUUCCAGCACAUACCACAGCCUUCAGAAAGGCAUCCAGUGUAGCAAUGGACCGUGUGGAACUGCCAAAACCUGUCAGUGGGUUCCAUCAGAAAGCUCUCUGUGGUUCAACACCAUGCUUUAGUGGUGUGCAGUGUGAGCUAGCCAAAGAUGGAGAAUUUAAAUGUGGGUCUUGUCCCAGUGGAUACAGCGGUAAUGGAAUAACAUGUGAAGUGCAGUGUGACCCACCAUGUGAGCACGGAG
ensembl:lncRNA